AUUGAACGCUGGCGGCAGGCCUAACACAUGCAAGUCGAGCGGAUGAAGGGAGCUUUCUCCUGGAUUCAGCGGCGGACGGGUGAGUAAUUCCUAUGAAUCUGCCUGGUAGUGUUUGAUAACGUCCGUAAACGGGCGCUAAUACCGCAUACGUCCUGAUGUUGAAAUUGGGUGUUCUUCGGACCUCACGCUAUCUGAUGAGCCUAGGUCGGAUUAGCUAGUUGGUUGGGUAAAGGCCUACCAAGGCGACGAUCCGUAACUGGUCUGAGAGGAUGAUCAGUCACACUGGAACUGAGACACGGACCAGAGUCCUACGGGAGGAAGCAGUGGGGAAUAUUGGACAAUGGGCGAAAGCCUGAUACAGCAAUGCCGAGUGUGUGAAGAAGGUCUUAGGAUUGGAAAGAACUUUAAGUUGGGAGGAAGGGAAGUAAGUUAAUACCUUGCUGUAUUGACGUUAACAACAGAAUAAGCACCGGCUAACUACGUG
rnacentral:rRNA from 1 species